rnacentral:rRNA from 1 species
CCUACGGGAGGCAGCAGUGGGGAAUAUUGGGCAAUGGGCGCAAGCCUGACCCAGCAACGCCGCGUGAAGGAAGAAGGCUUUCGGUUUGUAAACUUCUUUUCUCAGGGACGAAGCAAGUGACGGUACCUGAGGAAUAAGCCACGGCUAACUACGGGCCAGCAGCCGCGGUAAUACGUAGGUGGCAAGCGUUAUUCGGAUUUACUGGGUGUAAAGGGCGUGUAGGCGGGACUGCAAGUCAGAUGUGAAAACCAUUGGCUCAACCUAUGGACUGCAUUUGAAACUGUAGUUCUUGAGUACUGGAGAGGCAGGCGGAAUUCCUAGUGUAGCGGUGAAAUGCGUAGAUAUUAGGAGGAACACCAGUGGCGAAGGCGGUCUGCUGGACAGCAACUGACGCUGAGGCGCGAAAGCGUGGGGAGCAAACAGGAUUAGAUACCCGUGUAGUC